CGAUCCGGGUAACCGGCUCCUGCCUGCAAGGUGCUGCAUGGCUGUCGUCAGCUCGUGUCGUGAGAUAAUAAAAAAUAAGUCCCGCAACGAGCGCAACCCUUACCGUGAGUUACCACCAUUCAGUUGGGGACUCUCGCGGAACUGCCGGUGAUAAACCGGAGGAAGGUGGGGAUGACGUCAAGUCCUCAUGGCCUUUAUGUCCAGGGCUACACACGUGCUACAAUGGCUGGUACAAACCGCUGCGAAGUCGCGAGACGGAGCCAAUCGGAAAAAACCAGUCUCAGUUCGGAUUGGAACAGAUCUUUGACGACUCCAUGAAGUUGGAAUCGCUAGUAAUCGCAGAUCAGCAUGCUGCGGUGAAUACGUUCC
rnacentral:rRNA from 1 species